UUACGGCAAUAGCACGUGGAAAUACCACUUAUCUUCCGAUCACCGAAGUUAAGCAAUGUCAAGCCUUGUCAGUACCUAGAUGGGAUACCGGAUGGGAAUACCAGGUGCUGUUA